rnacentral:rRNA from 1 species
AUUGAACGCUGGCGGCAGGCCUAACACAUGCAAGUCGAACGGUAACAGGAAGAAGCUUGCUUCUUUGCUGACGAGUGGCGGACGGGUGAGUAAUGUCUGGGAAACUGCCUGAUUUAGGGGGAUAACUACUGGAAACGGUAGCUAAUACCGCAUAAUGUCGCAAGACCAAAGAGGGGGACCUUCGGGCCUCUUGCCAGCGGAUGUGCCCAGAUGGGAUUAGCUAGUAGGUGGGGUAAAGGCUCACCUAGGCGACGAUCCCUAGCUGGUCUGAGAGGAUGACCAGCCACACUGGAACUGAGACACGGUCCAGACUCCUACGGGAGGCAGCAGUGGGGAAUAUUGCACAAUGGGCGCAAGCCUGAUGCAGCUAUGCCGCGUGUAUGAAGAAGGCCUUCGGGUUGUAAAGUACUUUCAGCGGGGAGGAAGGGAGUAAAGUUAAUACCUUGGCUCAUUGACGUUACCCGAAGAAGAAGCACCGGCUAACUCCGUG